rnacentral:rRNA from 1 species
UGCGUAGGCGGACAAGAAGGCGCCUUGUGAAAUCCCCCGGCUCAACCGGGGAAUUGCUUGGUGAACCGCUUGUCUUGAGGCAAGUAGGGGCUGUCGGAACGAUAGGUGGAGCGGUGAAAUGCGUUGAUAUCUAUCGGAACGCCCAAGGCGAAGGCAGGCAGCUGGGCUUGUUCUGACGCUGAGGCACGAAAGCGUGGGAGCAACG